rnacentral:lncRNA from 1 species
CUUGCACUUGCUCCACACAUUUGUUCUUGUCAGUCACAGGCAAGGUAAGAUCUGAUGAUAUAUUGUUAAAAAGCUGGUUAGAAGUUGUGGUGUUUCAUUGAUGUUUGACACUCUUUGAAGAAGAAAAUCUUCAAACACUGCUGAAGCGGAGACGUGAAGACAGCUGUCAGUUACAAACGAGACAUAAUGUAGCAUUUCUUAAAUAACAACCAAAGGAAGUCCAGUUUGUAUUGAAAAUUUUAUUACUGUAUGUCACUGUAGUGAAUGAUUUGUUCGUAUUGUGGUUCAAGUCACGGUAAGAUUGGUCUCUGGCAUUCUGUUAAAAAAAGUGCAGGCCAAAUAUUUUAAUAUGGCCAUGGUUGCGUAUUUGUUUGCUUUAUCUGAACCACUAAAAAGUAGGAGAAAAACAAAAUGAAACAUUCUAGUUGAGCCGAGGCCCAAUUAGAUAAUAAUAAAAAAACAGCUUUGCUUGUGAUGUACCAGAGGUCAUUUAUUUGACCUCUGGGCCUGUUAUCUUUUGAAGUGUAUAUAGUCACUUUGUUUAGUCAAAUGAAGUAAAAUUUUGCUUUAAAUGUUUGGCAAACCUUUUGCCAGAUGGAAAACGCUCUGCUGAUGACUCUUACGGUGCUCCUGCUCCUUGGAGUUCAAGGAAUCUCAGCUCAGUCCUCGAUCAACAACAUCUCAACCCCCUCAACCCCACGACCCACUAGUGCUACAACCUCCACUACCCUAUGGGCCACAUGUCCGAAAAUCAUAGAAUAUAUUACUAAGUCUGAUCUGUUCCGGCUGAAGGUUAUAUGGAAGGUCAGUCCAUGUGAAGGUCAGCUGUAUGUGUAUUCUCAUGAGCGUCAAGGGCCUUUGUGCUCUAGCAGCGACAUCUCAGUCAGCUGGUGGACUGAAGUGUGUAAGGACAGAAGAUGUGGAGACUUCAAGGGCUUUAAGCACACUUCAAGCCAAGCUAAAUGUCUCAAGCUCACAACAAAUAUGACAUUCAUCAAUACUACUAAGUGCAACGGCCUGCACAUCAUGUGCCAAGGUGUGUGAACAGUUUAUAUAUGACUCGGUAUGCUGAAAUGUUUCUCUUGAUGUUUUUGUUUCUUAUCAGGUUCCGUGACUCUGUUUAGUAUGCUGUACAUUUUGAAUAACACAUUAUAUUCUUUUCCCCCCACAUUUUUUUUUCAGAUCCUCUAGGAACAGAGUUGGCUGCUUAUAAAGCAGUAACUGGCAUAUUAAUUUUCUUGAUCUUGGGUGUCAUUCUGGUUCAGUUCAGUCGGCCCACGUACAAAGCCAUCCGCAAAAGAUGUGAGUCAG